rnacentral:rRNA from 1 species
GCGUAACGCGUAUGCAAUCUACCUUUUGCAGAGGGAUAGCCCAGAGAAAUUUGGAUUAAUACCUCAUAGUAUCUCGUUGUUGCAUGACAACAAGAUUAAAGUCACAACGGCAAAAGAUGAGCAUGCGUCCCAUUAGCUAGUUGGUAAGGUAACGGCUUACCAAGGCUACGAUGGGUAGGGGUCCUGAGAGGGAGAUCCCCCACACUGGUACUGAGACACGGACCAGACUCCUACGGGAGGCAGCAGUGAGGAAUAUUGGUCAAUGGGCGCAAGCCUGAACCAGCCAUGCCGCGUGCAGGAUGACGGUCCUAUGGAUUGUAAACUGCUUUUGUACGAGAAGAAACACUACUUCGUGAAGUAGCUUGACGGUAUCGUAAGAAUAAGGAUCGGCUAACUCCGUGCCAGCAGCCGCGGUAAUACGGAGGAUCCAAGCGUUAUCCGGAAUCAUUGGGUUUA